ensembl:ncRNA Y69A2AR.48 ncRNA
AUGGAAUUCAACAGGGAAUAUAUCCAUUAUACAGUUUUUUUUUACCAAAAACAGGCACAAAAUAUGCAGUUUUUGUGCAAUUAAUGCUUCUCGCGCUCAUCAGAUUUGAAGACAGUUUCAAUAUUCAAAGCUAUAAUAGUUUCUACGAUUAUUGGGGGAAAU